AAAAACAUGUCUUUUUGAUUAUAAUUUAAAGUCUGGUCUGCCCACUGAUAAAAAUUAAAGGGCUGCAGUAUUUUGACUGUACAAAGGUAGCAUAAUCAUUAGUCUCUUAAUUGGUGACUUGUAUGAAAGAUUUGAUGAAAUAUAAACUGUCUCUUUAUAAUUUAUAAAAUUUAAUUUUUUAGUAAAAAAGCUAAAAUAAUUUUAAAAGACGAGAAGACCCUAUAGAGUUUUAUAAUUUAUUUAAUUUUUGAUUUUUUAUUAAUUUUAUUUAUUAAAAAUUAAAUUAAUUAUUUUGUUGGGGUGAUAGAAAAAUUUGAUAAACUUUUUUUAAAAUAAAUAAACAUUUAUAAAUGAUAAUAUGAUCCGAUUUUAUCGAUUAAAAGAUUAAAUUACCUUAGGGAUAACAGCGUAAUUUUUUUUUUUAGUUCAAAUAAGAAGAAAAGUUUGCGACCUCGAUGUUGGAUUAAGAUAAAAUUUAAAUGCAAAAGUUUAAAAUUUUGAUCUGUUCGAUCAUUAAAAUCUUACAUGAUCUGAGC
rnacentral:rRNA from 1 species